rnacentral:rRNA from 1 species
GAUGAACGCUGGCGGCGUGCCUAAUACAUGCAAGUCGAGCGAAUGGAUUAAGAGCUUGCUCUUAUGAAGUUAGUGGCGGACGGGUGAGUAACACGUGGGUAACCUGCCCAUAAGACUGGGAUAACUCCGGGAAACCGGGGCUAAUACCGGAUAACAUUUUGAACCGCAUGGUUCGAAAUUGAAAGGCGGCUUCGGCUGUCACUUAUGGAUGGACCCGCAUCGCAUUAGCUAGUUGGUGGGGUAACGGCUCACCAAGGCAACGAUGCGUAGCCGACCUGAGAGGGUGAUCGGCCACACUGGGACUGAGACACGGCCCAGACUCCUACGGGAGGUAGCAGUAGGGAAUCUUCCGCAAUGGACGAAAGUCUGACGGAGCAACGCCGCGUGAGUGAUGAAGGCUUUCGGGUCGUAAAACUCUGUUGUUAGGGAAGAACAAGUGCUAGUUGAAUAAGCUGGCACCUUGACGGUACCUAACCAGAAAGCCACGGCUAACUACGUGCCAGCAGCCGCGGUAA